GCCGCCUCCUCAAUCGCCUCUCGAUUCCACACGCUACUCAGCCGGAAUGAGUCUUGUUGUUAUGCUUAGUAAGUAUUCGGUGGAUCAGUCGGCGGCUGAGAGGUUGAAGAAGAUCUGUUCUGGUUGAUGCCCGCUAUGUUAGAAGCCUUCAUAUUUCAUUUGCAGCUUCUAAUAGUCUCCUUACAUGCUUAAUCUGGGUAAUUUUCUAUCAUUUAUUGAUGUUAUCUUAAUUUUCCAUGAAUGAACACAUUCUGUAUUCAGUCUUUUUCUCACAAUGGCUGCUUACUCGUUUUCAGAUAAAUUCAUCUCUUGAACAUAAUUUUCUUGAA